UAAUUUGACUCAACACGGGGAAACUCACCAGGUCCAGACAAAGGAAGGAUUGACAGAUUGAUAGCUCUUUCUUGAUUCUUUGGGUGGUGGUGCAUGGCCGUUCUUAGUUGGUGGAGUGAUUUGUCUGGGUAAUUCCGUUAACGAACGAGACCUUAACCUGCUAAAUUGGGUACGGGAAUAGGUUUUUACUGUCCCGUUAUCGCUUCUUAGAGGGACUUUGCGGUUAUA
rnacentral:rRNA from 1 species